GAUCCUUCCCAGUCUGCUGUCUGGAUCCUGGGGACAACAAGGCUCCAAAGGGAGAGCUGAGCCAGAGUAUCCCACUGUGUAGGCUGGCCUGGUAUUUGUGGUGAUCCUCCUGCCCCUGCCUCCUGAAUGCUGGGAAUUCAACCGUGCUAGGAUUAACCUUUAAAAACUUAAGGAAGAAGCCUAGAAGAGGAGGAAGAGGAACAAAAAGGAGUCGAGAAUGGCUGUUAUUCAGCCUGCUGUGUUUGCUGACACUCACCUGUGGUGCCCUCAUCCUCGCUCAGCUCCACUAUGACUCCAUCUCACUAGGACCAGUGACAUGGAUUAUGUGAGGAGGCUCCAUUGGUCAUGGUUCUGGGAAGUACCAAUCUUUUCAAAACGUUAAUGUUUUACUGAUUAAUCUGUAGCUGUGUCAAUUAUCUCUACUCUGAUAAUAAUUUUUUUCUUCCUGUUGCUUAUGGCAUUUUUGAAUUUUUUUUUUCACUGA
rnacentral:lncRNA from 1 species